CGCGGGGUGGAGCAGCUCGGUAGCUCGCUGGGCUCAUAACCCAGAGGUCGCAGGUUCAAAUCCUGUCCCCGCAA
rfam:Microbacterium sp. STBG005 Ion018_assembly_c32, whole genome shotgun sequence.